rnacentral:rRNA from 1 species
AGCGAACGCUGGCGGCAGGCUUAACACAUGCAAGUCGAGCGGGCAUCCUUGUGGUGUCAGCGGCAGACGGGUGAGUAACGCGUGGGAACGUGCCCUUCGAUUCGGAAUAACUCAUGGAAACUUGAGCUAAUACCGGAUACGUUCGAGAGCAGAAAGGUUUAUCUGCCGAAGGAUCGGCGCGCGUCUGAUUAGCUAGUUGGUGAGGUUAUGGCUCACCAAGGCGACGAUCAGUAGCUGGUCUGAGAGGAUGAUCAGCCACACUGGGACUGAGACACGGCCCAGACUCCUACGGGAGGCAGCAGUGGGGAAUAUUGGACAAUGGGGGCAACCCUGAUACAGCCAUGCCGCGUGAGUGAUGACGGCCUUAGGGUUGUAAAGCUCUUUUCUCCGGGACGAUAAUGACGGUACCGGAGGAAUAAGCCCCGGCUAACUUCGUG